CCCUGCCAAGUCUAGUGGUUAGGAUUCAGCACUUCCACUACUGUAGCUCGGGUUCAACUCCUGGUCAGGGA
rnacentral:tRNA from 1 species